ACCUAAUUCCCGCGAUAAGUGAGGGAACAGUGUAUACAUUUAUUUAUAUGCCACUCUUUUCUGUUAAAGAGUCUCAAAACAGUGAAUUACAAUAGAGUCUCACUUAUCCAACAUAAACGGGCCGGCAGAAUGUUGGAUAAGCGAAUAUGUUAGAUAAUAAGGAGGCAUUAAGGAAAAGCCUAUUAAACAUCAAAUUGUAUGAUUUUACAAAUUAAGCACCAAAACAUCAUGUUAUAUAACAAAUUUGACAGAAGAAGUACUUCAAUACGCAGUAAUGCUAUGUAGUAAUUACUGUAUUUACGAAUUUAGCACCAAAAUAUCACGACGUAUUGAAAACACUGACUACAAAAAUGCGUUGGAUAAUCCAGAAUGUUGGAUAAGCGAGUGUUGGAUAAGUGAGACUCUACUGUAUAUAUACCAGCAGACACAUCAAAAAUACAUAGAAAGAAGCAGGUUUUAGCAAAAGAAAGUUUUAAAUUGAUCCCACCUAGACAAUAUUACGCCACUCAUAGAUUCCAAUUACAUUUUUAUUAGUUUGAGAUGAAAAAUAAUUGCAGAUUUUCUUCUAUGCCCUCCUCAUCAAUUUGUUGUCAUCCAGAAAAUGUAAUAGAAAAGUUUCUAAAAAGUUUUAAAACAGAAGUAAAGCUUAAGUAUCGGACAUCCGAAAUGCUUGGGGUAGAAGAGCUUUGAAUUUUAUUUUAUUUUAAUUUAUAAUACCUGUAUUUGCAUAUACAUCCAUAAUGAGAUGCUCCACAUAUAUUUUAUGCACAUAACCUGAAGGUAAUUUUAUACAAUAUUUAAAAAAAUAAUUUUGUACAUGAAACUUUGUCAGUAAAGAUUAAAAUUUCAAUAAAACCUGAACUUUAUUUGUUGGGGAUUCUGAAUGAUAAAUUAGAAAACAAACAUGAAAGAUUACUAUAAUAUAUGAUUACAGCAGCAAGAAUAAUCUAUGCCAGAGAUGGAAAGAACCAGAUAUUCUGACACAAGAAGAAUGACUGGUGUAGAUAUGAGAAUUAGUCAAAAUGGGCAAAUUAACAAUGUUGAUUAAGGAGAAAUCAUUGAUUAAAUUCAAGAAAGUAUGGGACACAUUUCUUACUUUUAUAGAGCAAAGAUGGGGCAAUCUUUAAUUGUUGGUUUUCUGAUACAGAUGAGUGUUAUUAAAAGUAAAAGGGUAGAAAUAAAGUAAUACUUUAUUAAAGUAACAAAUACAGUAGAGUCUCACUUACCCAACACUCACUUAUCCAACGUUCUGGAUUAUCCAACACAUUUUUGUAGUCAGUGUUUUCAAUAUAUCAUGAUAUUUUGGUGCUAAAUUUGUAAAUACAGUAAUUACUACAUAGCAUUAAUGUGUAAUGAACUACUUUUUCUGUCAAAUUUGUUGUAUAACAUGAUGUUUUGGUGCUUAAUUUGUAAAAUCAUAACCUAUUUUGAUGUUUAAUAGGCUUUUUCUUAAUCUCUACUU
rnacentral:lncRNA from 1 species